rnacentral:rRNA from 1 species
UACGUAGGCAGCGAGCGUUGUUCGGAGUUACUGGGCGUAAAGCGUGCGUAGGCGGUUUUGUAAGUUUGGUGUGAAAUCUCCCGGCUCAACUGGGAGGGUGCGCCGAAAACUGCAAGGCUGGAGUGUGGGAGAGGUAGGCGGAAUUCCUGGUGUAGCGGUGAAAUGCGUAGAUAUCAGGAGGAACACCUGUGGUGUAGACGGCUUACUGGACCAUGACUGACGCUGAGGCACGAAAGCGUGGGGAGCGAACAGG